GACGAACGCUGGCGGCGUGCUUAACAAAUGCAAGUCAAACGGAAAGGCCCUGCUUUUGUGGGGUGCUCGAGUGGCGAACGGGUGAGUAACACGUGAGUAACCUGCCCUUGACUUUGGGAUAACUUCAGGAAACUGGGGCUAAUACCGGAUAGGAGCUCCUGCUGCAUGGGGGGGGUUGGAAAGUUUCGGCGGUUGGGGAUGGACUCGCGGCUUAUCAGCUUGUUGGUGGGGUAGUGGCUUACCAAGGCUUUGACGGGUAGCCGGCCUGAGAGGGUGACCGGCCACAUUGGGACUGAGAUACGGCCCAGACUCCUACGGGAGGCAGCAGUGGGGAAUAUUGCACAAUGGGCGGAAGCCUGAUGCAGCAACGCCGCGUGCGGGAUGACGGCCUUCGGGUUGUAAACCGCUUUCGCCUGUGACGAAGCGUGAGUGACGGUAAUGGGUAAAGAAGCACCGGCUAACUACGUG
rnacentral:rRNA from 1 species